UGGAAGGAAGGAACACACCAGAAAGAAAGAGACUAAGUUUAUUUACAAGUUACCACAACUGGACUGCAAGAACGUCUAAUUAGCAUCAGCGGCCUUACUAACUACGUCCACAACCGUAGAACACAUUUCUUCCCCUCCUCCGACGCGCAGGAGCUCGCGAACGAGCCCGCCCCGGCUGCGUGAAGAAGCGCUACCGCUUUCAGGCAGUCCCAAGGGGAACGAGCGAGACGCCAGAAGCCACGCUGCGGCCACCAGAGAGACCACAGGGGACGGGACGGCCGCCCCCAUCGCUUGGGGUACCCGUGCAGCGUUCCCUGCCCGUCCCGAGAGGCCACACCGGCUGUAAGGCCCCCACCACCAUCAGAGCGGCGCAAAUCGCCUCGUCCUCGCCGGGGCCGGAAGCGGAGCCGCGCCGGCGCAGGGACAGCCCACCGCCGCGGGGAGGGGUGCAUCCGCCGCCCCCCGCCCGAUCCUGCGCCCCCGGAGGCGGGCGGCCGUCGCCUGCCAGCCCGCAACUUAUCGCGCAGGUCUAGUCCGCCGCUAUGCUGGGGCCUGUACCUGCGUUGGAAGUCCUGCUCGAAGGGGGCCAGGCAACAUUCAACCUCGUCAUUUUCCAAUUGUCCAUUGGUUCCAUCAGGACAGUAGACAUUUCCCAAUGGUCAGAUUGUAAUUUGGAGUCUACACAGGUGAAGUAUAAGCCUUUUUGGCUGCAGCUGAGAGGUAUGAAUGGCCUUUUCCCUUAUGUCACUCUUCAGUUAGCAAUCCAGUAGAGACGUUGGAGAUGCUGUUCCAGUACACUGAAUCUUUUCCAGUUUCCUCACUGUAUCUGCAUGUUUGUGCUAAAUUUAACUGCUUUCUUGCUACACUAUUUCCUACCAGUGCAUAUAUGCAUAGAUUGCUUUGCUUUUGCAUCUUAUCUUGUCAUAUCCCUUUUGCCACAUUUUCUUAAGAAGAAUGAGUGUAAAUACUGAUAAAAAUAACGGUGUUACAGCUUCUGAGUCAUCUGCUCAGUUUGAUAUUUUCAAAUUUGCUGCUUACUAUCUAUGAUGGCUGAUAUCUCUUCUCCCCUCAUAUAGGCUGCUAGCUUAUUCCAUGUUGUUCUGGUAUCUAUAGGCCCUAAAACUAAAUACACUCCAGGCCAUCCAUUAUAGUUACUUAAAUACAUCUGUGUAUUUAAACAUUCAAGGCUUGUCAAUUUCUACUAUGUUGCCAUGCACAAAACAUUAAAGAGUCUGACAACUUUUUUCUGCUUCUAUUAUGUCUCUACUUUCUUUUGGCUUAUGACCAUCAUAGUGGUAUAAUCAUUCAAAUUCUGGUCUUCUUUCUUAAGUUCAUACAGUGUUAUGCAUCCACUCAUCAUAAUCAGUUUCUAGAUCUUUUGAAAGAAUCUGGAUCCCAAAGAUUUAGUCCCUGCUUAAUACUGUUUCCUCACCUCAUCUAUUUCUUCCAAAAAGUAGAAAUGGAUAGAUCCUAGGUGCAGGGUCCUAGAUAAUUCCUAGGAGCAGAGUUGGAAUGUCCAGCAGGGGACUGGUUUUGUUUUUAUCUUUCCUAAGAAUCGCAGAAUUAUAGAAUCAUGAAGAUUGGAAAAGACUACUAAGAUCAUCUAGUCCAACUGUCAACAUCACCAUGCCUGCUGAACCAUGUCCUCAGAGCCUUGGUUCCCCUGUCAGUGGCCUUGUCCUUUACUAAUAAGCCAUAAGAAAAACAGUCUCUGUUCAGCUGAGUCAUGAGAGGUAGCAAAGACAAAGAUCUCUGAUCACUUAGGACUAUGAUCAGAGGCUUUUAAAGCAAUCUUUGGGCCUCCAUACAAUGUCCACCUAGUGCCAAUUUGCCAAACUGCCACAUUUUCUUUCUCAGAUUUUCAGCAGUUGGCAUCCACCACAAAGACUGACACCUAUCUAAAAGAGAUUUGCCCAAAGUGAACUGCAACCAGAUCACUGAAUGAUUUAGCCACUAUUUCUCUUCUUUCCUCAGAUUAUCAGUGAUCUUGAGUCACCUGGGCUCAAAAUUUAUUAGUUAUUUAUUUGUUAUAGUAUACAAACUAUUUACAGUAAGAUGAAUGGUAAGAUAUCUGACAAUUCAUGGACCAGUGAAUGCCCUGAGUCUCUGGAAUCUAUCUGCUGUUUACUUUGUGUCACCACUUAGUCUUAUAACACAGUGUUCUAAGCAAAAUUACUGUCACGUAUAUAUUUUUGCUUUAAUAUCAACCAUUUAUCAAUUUAACUUUUUUUUUUUUAAGAUAUAAUACAGCUCUCUGUAUCUGGUCAGUCAGGUCAUUAGUAGUCAAAUAACAGCCAUGGUAGCACACUGUAAAUGAGAAAUGCUUUAAAAAGUCUUCCAUGCCUUUGUCUUCCUCUAUUAAAACUUGUUCUCACAGACCACAUUGAGAUCCUCUGUUAUUUUUCUGUUAGUCUUUUUCUGGCUCUUUGACUUUUGCUGUUAAAGCUUUGGUUUAUGCAAAUAGUGAUAUUUCUUCACUGAUAAGAUUGUUAUCCAAAUUAUUAGUAAUGUUUGUUUUUUCCCUAUUUCCCUGUUUCAGCUGCACAUUUAAAAUACUGAAAUGCUUGUACAGUUCACAAAUUAUCUAUUGCUUCUUGGCCUGUGCAAUCUUUCAGCUUUCCUCAGUAACUCUUAUGUUGUCUUCUGUUUCAACACUUGCACAAGAAAAAUUCACAAAGGAUUCCAUCCUGGGAGCUGAGUCAUUCUCUAAACCAAGAACUGUCAUUCUCUGUACAUAAAAUAUUCCUCUGCAGAGCUUAAGGGCAAGUAUUACAUAUGUGAUUUUAUGUUGAUUUUUCUUUGGCUUCUCUUACUUUAAAUUGCUUGCAUAUCUGAAUCAGUAUACCACAUUAUUUAUCUGUACACACCAAAACUUUCUUUGCAUUCAUACAAUUACAUAAUGUGUUACAUAAUGCCAAAAUGUUAGUUAUUUUUGUGUUCUAAUUAUUUAUUUGAUAGUCAUUUCAAAAAAUACACUUACAUUUUCACUUGUUUUGUAUUUACACCUAAUUCUCUUGAACUUUAACUACUUUCUUCCUAUCCAGGAAACCUCCAGUCCUCAAGGAACAUGAUCUGUACAAUCAAAUUGUUAGUCCAGUCACACCUCUAAAAGACAGUCAUGGUGAAUAGCAAUCUAGCUUUAGUCAUCUGAGAUAGCUAACAUUUAAAAGAGCUGACUAACAGUGACAUGUAUUAGACAUGGAAAAAACAAGACCGGCUAUUUAUUUCUUUUCUUUUCUUAGCACUGUAAAGUACCUCACACAUUCUUUGUAUUUUUAAAUAAACAUUUUAAAUAAAAAAAAAACAAAUUCUGUGUUUGUGAUUGCCAAAAAUAAACGCUUUAGUAGGUUGAAACCACUCUAGCACUAUAAGUUAUUCCCAUUAUGACAUUCCCUGCUUAUGUUAAAAUUAAUGUGUGGGACUGAAAGAGAUUUAUAGAAAGAUUCCUGAACACCUCUGUUUUGAUUUUUAUUAUACUUCUUGAAAUAAAACUUUUCAGCUGAUUUCUCCAGCAUAAUUUCACCUGUUAAAAAUUCUCAUGUUAGCUCUGAUUUUAUAAAUAAUGCCUUUAUUAAAUCUAUAAUUUUCAAGCCUACUACGUUUUUAUUCCCCUUUCUUUACUUGCUUGCAUACUUAUCACUCUUUGUUUCAAUGUUUUGUUUUGUCCUUUUAAUUCUUUGUUUUACAGUAAGUCUUGUUGCACUGCUUUACUUGAAGAAUUAGUAUCUGCAUAGAAGAAAAUUGAGCCUCGUGCCAACAGAUGAGAUAGACUUUAUGACUUCUCUAUGAUCACACCACAUAUUGAUAAAAGCAUGUAACUGUGAAGUAUGAGAUGCAAAUGUCAAAAUAUUUCUUUGUUUUCGUAAGGAGUUGCAAAAGGAGUCAUUCCUUUUCUGUACAAUGAAUUAUGGGCAUUCAGAACUGUAAAAAAGCCACUCUGCCAAGAAUAUAAAAAUAAAUGCCAUUUGUUGUUUU